AUAUCUCAAGGAGAAACAGAUCAUUAUUGAUGAUGUUGAAAAUCUGAAAACUGACGUUUCUAAGAAAGACAAAGUUAUAGCUAAACUGACAUCACAAAUAGCGGCUCAAUCACAGAAUGAAAAACAGAUCAUUACUGACCUUAAAGAAAAGGAGUUGUACAUAGCCAAACUAGUGAA